UACGAAGGGGGCUAGCGUUGUUCGGAAUUACUGGGCGUAAAGCGCACGUAGGCGGAUAUUUAAGUCAGGGGUGAAAUCCCGGGGCUCAACCCCGGAACUGCCUUUGAUACUGGGUAUCUGGAGUAUGGAAGAGGUAAGUGGAAUUCCGAGUGUAGAGGUGAAAUUCGUAGAUAUUCGGAGGAACACCAGUGGCGAAGGCGGCUUACUGGUCCAUUACUGACGCUGAGGUGCGAAAGCGUGGGGAGCAAACAGG
rnacentral:rRNA from 1 species